CCUUACGGGGAAAGUUUUAAUGCCAAAAGAUGAGCCCGCACUUGAUUAGCUAGUUGGUAAGGUAAAAGCUUACCAAGGCAACGAUCAAUAGCUGUUCUUAGAGGAAGACCAGCCACAUUGGGACUGAGACACGGCCCAGACUCCUACGGGAGGCAGCAGUGGGGAAUCUUGCACAAUGGGGGAAACCCUGAUGCAGGGAUGCCGCGUGAGUGAAGAAAGCCUUUGGGUUGUAAAACUCUUUCGUCGGGGA
rnacentral:rRNA from 1 species